rnacentral:lncRNA from 1 species
ACCCCUUCGCACAACUUCCCACAGAAGCCCUCCUAGCUUCCAGCUUCGCCAUGCUCUGUAAUUCCUUCUCUCAGGUAAUAUUUCCGGCUUAUCCUGCCCUCUUGCUUUUCUAGCCUCCUCAGUGUCAAUCUCUCAUAAAGAACAAGGUGUCGCCAUGUCCUUUUCCUUCUCUUUUCACACCCUUCCCCUCAGCCACCACCAAAAUAGUAAGAUGCCAGAUAAAACAGCAGCAGCCCCUUAAUGAUAUAUACCUUUUGACGCAAAUCACUCGUUCUACUCUGUGUAAUCUAGGUAUGGAGAAGGUUCUUUGUAGAGAUGAAAUGUUAGAAUUUAAUAUUUUUGAAAUGGAAGCCUGAAUUGUUCAUUUCUGCAUUUCUCUCUGGGGGCUCACAGAUUUCUUCAUUUUCAUAGAAAAGGAAACACACACCAGGGAAGGCAACUGAUUAUGUUCAGUGCUAAAACUGCUCAGAAGAGAAUAAAAUAAUGUCAUUUCAUUUCUGCAUUUGUUAAAGAAAUCAAAAUUAGUGUUUAAUUCCAAAAGUUAACGCUUUCAGACUUAAAUCUGUAUAAAAUGACUGCCACACAGAGUGUAUUUCCAGAUCUCUUAAAGG